AAAAGGCUGCAAAGAUCCCAGCCACCACGUUUACCUUCAGCACCAAAGACUUGCUUCAGAAGGAGAAGACACAGUGCUAUGCUCGCCCCCAAAGUGAAGGAAGGUGCAUAGGAAUGGAGAUUGAUUUAACCUCUACCGCAGAGAGGAGAGGAGAAAUGUGGUGGAUGUCCUACAAAUGUCAGUGACAAGAUCCAGGAAUCAACGCAUUUGGGAAUUUUCGCAAAAGCUCAGGACCUCUUAAGGGUGAAGAUCUCAUUGAGGGAGGUUUUUCAGCAGUGGAAAAAACCGAAGGCCUGCGAGUUUGGAUCCCGUGAUGCAUUGCUGCUUGAAGUUACAUCUGCUCCUCUCUUUCAUCUCUCCUCUUGUUAACUGGGAGCUGUCACAUUAGGAGACUUCCGCAGAGCUCCUGAAGCCAACUUAGCAGAGACUGCCCUACUGAAAGCUUUCUGAAGUCGUUCCUGAAAUACAAUGCAUAAUCUCUUGAGAUUAACUCAAUGGCAAAAAUUAAAAUUGCUGUUCCUUUCUAACAGUUUUCCAGUGCUUAGAACUAAUGGAUAGCAGUUCCUUCACUUCUGCCACUUGCUGAUGGACCAGAAGAAUGUGAACCUGCCUGCCUGGUUUCAGUAGUCUUUUCCUCAUUUGUCAAGGCCCUCUGGAAGGAUAGUGUACACUAAAUGUCGAACUGAAGAUAAACCAAAACUGAAGUUCUCUGUGUGGAAAAACAGGUGGGGAAGAUCUUGGCUGUGUUUGAGAAGGUAGAUGCAUCUCUCAUGUGUGAUA